GUUCUCUCUGGCACACUGCUUUUCUCUGCUCUCCCCUCCCUGUACCGACCGGUCCAAAACCGACCAGCAACCGAGGCGCACUUCCCAGCAACCGCCGGUAGGGGCGCCAGCGCAGCCUGGGCUUGUCCUCCCCCUCCACGCCGCGACCCGCCCGCGGACUGCGGCACCGUAGGCAAUGUAGCGCUAUCGCCGAAGUCACUGCUCACCACCUGCCACCCUUAGGGGUGAAGCUUACGGUACCCACGCCCCUGGGAAGGCACACGGGCUUGCAUUCAGGGCUUGCCAAGGCCCAGCCCUGGAUCCCAGGGAAGUCACGGCCCAGGGUUGACCUCUGAAGCCACCUCCUGUCUCCCCCUGGCUCCUCUGUCUCUGUGCAGAACCGUGGUGUGCCAGGCUCUGGCCAACCUGUGGCCUCUCCACCCUGAAAGAGUCCCCUUGAAAAGCCAAGGGGGAAGAAACCAGCCCCCAGCAGCGAACUCCAUAUAAACCAAGAGGUCCAUCCAUGUUGUCACAAGUGGUGAAACUUCAUUGUUU